AGCAGUAGCCGCGGUAAUACAGAGGGUGCGAGCGUUAAUCGGAUUUACUGGGCGUAAAGCGUGCGUAGGCGGCUUCUUAAGUCGGAUGUGAAAUCCCUGAGCUUAACUUAGGAAUCGCAUUCGAUACUGGGAAGCUAGAGUAUGGGAGAGGAUGGUAGAAUUCCAGGUGUAGCGGUGAAAUGCGUAGAGAUCUGGAGGAAUACCGAUGGCGAAGGCAGCCAUCUGGCCUAAUACUGACGCUGAGGUACGAAAGCAUGGGGAGCAAACAGGAUUAGAUACCCCUGUAGUCCCUGUCUCUUAUAA
rnacentral:rRNA from 1 species